rnacentral:rRNA from 1 species
CCUACGGGCGGCAGCAGUGGGGAAUCUUGCGCAAUGGGCGAAAGCCUGACGCAGCGACGCCGCGUGAGGGAUGAAGGUUUUCGGAUCGUAAACCUCUGUCAGCAGGGAAGAACGGUCACUGUGCUAACUAGCGGUGAACUGACGGUAUCUGCACAGGAAGCAACGGCUAACUACGUGCCAGCAGCCGCGGUGAUACGGAGGGGGCGAGCGUUAACCGGAUUUAUUGGGCGUAAAGCGCUCGUAGGCGGUAUGUCAAGUCAAGGGUGAAAUCCCCGCGCUCAACGUGGGAACUGCCUUUGAAACUGGCAAACUUGAGUGUGUGAGAGGAUAGUGGAAUUCCAGGUGUAGGAGUGAAAUCCGUAGAUAUCUGGAGGAACAUCAGUGGCGAAGGCGACUAUCUGGCACGUAACUGACGCUGAGGAGCGAAAGCGUGGGUAGCAAACAGGAUUAGAUACCCCAGUAGUC